GACGAACGCUGGCGGCGUGCCUAAUACAUGCAAGUCGAGCGCAGGAAGCCGUCUGAACCCUUCGGGGGGACGACGGUGGAAUGAGCGGCGGACGGGUGAGUAACACGUAAAGAACCUGCCCAUAGGUCUGGGAUAGCCACGAGAAAUCGGGGCUAAUACCGGAUGUGUCAUCGGACCGCAUGGUCCGCUGAUGAAAGGCGCCCCGGCGUCGCCCAUGGAUGGCUUUGCGGUGCAUUAGCUAGUUGGUGGGUAACGGCCCACCAAGGCGACGAUGCAUAGCCGACCGGAGAGGGUGAUCGCCGUCACUGGGUCUGCGUCACGGCACCGCAUCUUACGGGAGGCAGCCGUAGGGAAUCUUCCACAAUGGACGAAAGUCUGAUGGAGCAACGCCGCGUGAACGAUGAAGGCUUUCGGGUCGUAAAGUUCUGUUGUAAGGGAAGAACAAGUGCCGCAGGCAAUGGCGGCACCUUGACGGUACCUUGCGAGAAAGCCACGGUUAACUACGUGCCAGCAGCCGCAGUAAAAC
rnacentral:rRNA from 1 species